rnacentral:rRNA from 1 species
UCUCAGUACAAGCUGACUUAAAGUGAAACCGCAAAAGGCUCAGUAAACCGGUCAUAGUUUACCGGAUAUAUGCCACUCACGUGGACAACUGUGGUAAUUCUAGAGCUAAUACAUGCAACCAAGUCCCGACCAGCGAUGGUAAGGACGCUUUUAUUGGAUCAAAACCAUUCGCCCGGCUUCGCCCGGGCGUCUGCUUGAUGACUCUAGAUAACACCACAGAUCGCACGGUCAUAGUACCGGCGACGUAUCCGUCAAAUGUCUGACUUAUCAGCUGUCGAUGGUAGACUCUGUGUCUACCAUGGCGCUCACGGGUAACGGGGAAUCAGGGUUCGAUUCCGGAGAGGGAGCCUGAGAAACGGCUACCACAUCCAAGGAAGGCAGCAGGCACGCAAAUUACCCACUCCCGGCACGGGGAGGUAGUGACAAAAAAUAACGAUACGGGACUCAUCCGAGGCCCCGUAAUCGGAAUGAGAACACCCUAAAUCCUUUAACGAGGA